CAAUUCACCUGGCAGGGGAGACACCUUGAUCACGAAGGAGGUUUUCCCAGGAUGAGGCUCGUCCAGGGCGCUGAGGGUGUGCUGACCCCCGCGAUUUCCCCAAAUGCAGGAAACUCAAUCAAAUGCCUUAUUCUGGAUAUUUUUGCACUCCUUAAGAAGGUGUACAACU